AUUGAACGCUGGCGGCAGGCCUAAUACAUGCAAGUCGAACGAGUGGCGGACGGGCGAGCAAUGUCUGGGAAACUGCCUGAUGGACGGGGAUAAUUACUGGAAACGGUAGCUAAUACCGCAUACCAUCGGAUGUGCCCAGAGGGGAUUAGCUAGUGGGUGGGGUAAAGGCUCACCUAGGCGACGAUCCCUAGCUGGUCUGAGAGGAUGACCAGCCAAACUGGGACUGAGACACGGUCCAGACUCCUACGGGAGGCAGCAGUAGGGAAUAUUGCACAAUGGGCGCAAGCCUGAAACAGCCAAGCCGCGUGUAUGAAGAAGGCCUUCGGAUUGUAAAGUACUUUCAGCGGGGAAGCGGUACCCGCAUAGGAAGCACCGGCUAACUCCGUGCCAGCAGCCGCGGUAAUAC
rnacentral:rRNA from 1 species